CUCUCCACUGUGGUAUGAGGUAUGGAUCACAACAAAGCAGCUAGUGGCAAUUCUUAUUCCAUUUAGGGAUGUGACAGACACUUGCUCACCCACCUCAGGAUGGAUGCCUUCAUAGAAAAGAUGGAAGUUGUUACAGUGGUUAGGAGGCUGAAGCAUGUCCUAAUGAACAAGUUCUAAUUGCAGUGAACUAAUGCUAGCUUCCAUAUGUGAUCACUUUAUCACUCAUGGCAUAGACUGUGAC